GCAAGCACGGCGUACUGACUAGUUUUUAAUAGAGCCCCGCUCCCAACGGCGGAGCCAAUCAGGCUCCGGGCUGACCCAGUCUCUCUGCGGCCCGAAAAAAUAGCUCCGGCGGUCAGAGGCGGAGCCGGGGCACGUCUCUCAACGCGCUUCGGCUCGAUUGGUAGGCCUCCCGCGGCAGGGUACCUGUCGCGCUCCUGGGGCCCGCGGCGGCUGAGCCGGAUGGGGCCGGGCGCAGUGUUGGUGGGAGGUCGCGACUGAGGACGGCGCUUUGUGUAUUGCCUGCUAAACCCGGGCCUCCCCCAUCAUACCUUGGAGAAGAGGUGGCUGACUAAGAUCCACUUUCCGGACGUGGAGCGGGUCCAGUGGGCCAACAAGGUAAGGCAGGGGUGGCUGGAAGGCGGCGGCGCGGCGCGUGGACGAAGGCUGCCCUGGCAGCAAGGGCCCAUGAGGGGCAGACAGAUGCCCCGUGGCCUCUGGAGUGGUGGCCUGCCUGCCUCUCGCCCUUCCCGUCCUCAGGGUUCUUCUCAUCACCAAUGAGUUUAUUCUUUUCUUUUAAAAAAAAUGUCUUUAAUUGCAAAAUUAAUGCAUGGUCCCAGAAGAAAAGUUAAGAAAAUACAGAUUACUAUAGAGGAAAAUGCAGCCCGCCAGUGGCCCACCAGGCAAUGCGCAGUGCUUUCUGGGGAGGCGCAGGCAGUAUCUGACAACUGCUGGAUUUCUCCUGGUUCCCAGCUCAGAUCUGCCACUACUGGCUGUACAGCCUCCUGCCGGUUGCAUAACUCUCAGAGCUGGUUCCCUCUUCUGGCAAUGGGAAUAAUUAUGGUCCCGGCCUCGUGUGAUUGUGUGAGGAUUCAUGAGGUAAUUAAUGCACCACAAUGCCCAGCACGUUGUGAGCGCUUGGGCACGCUGUCGUCAUCGUAUGUCCACCUGUAGGUCACGCAGGGGAACUCCCUGUGGGCCGUGGUGCCAGAUGCCCCAGGGAGAGACUGGACUCUGUGACCCCAGGUCUGGCCUCUCUUACAAGUGAGGAAACAGAGUCCAGACCCCACCUGUGAAGACUCCUCCAUGCCCCCUCAGGUCUCCUUACUUAAGACUGUUCUGGAUAGAGGCUUAGCCCGUAGCAGGAACUACUUAGGUUAGGCAUAUGAAAGGACUUGCUGAUGGUUUCUGAUCUGAGUUUGCUAUUCUCAUGUUACCAGAAAUGUCAU